AGAGUUUGAUCCUGGCUCAGGACGAACGCUGGCGGCGUGCUUAACACAUGCAAGUCGAACGAGACGAUUUAGAAGCUUGCUUUUAUUGAGUCGAGUGGCAAACGGGUGAGUAACGCGUAGACAACCUGCCGCAAAGAUGGGGACAACAGUCCGAAAGGACUGCUAAUACCUAAUGUUGUAUCUCCUCCGCAUGGAAGAGAUAUUAAAGAUGGCCUCUACUUGUAAGCUAUCGCUUUGCGAUGGGUCUGCGUCUGAUUAGCUAGUUGGUGGGGCAACGGCCUACCAAGGCGACGAUCAGUAGCCGGUCUGAGAGAAUGAACGGCCACAUUGGAACUGAGACACGGUCCAGACUCCUACGGGAGGCAGCAGUGGGGAAUCUUCCGCAAUGGGCGAAAGCCUGACGGAGCAACGCCGCGUGAGUGAAGAAGGUCUUCGGAUCGUAAAGCUCUGUUGUCGGGGACGAAUGUUGAGGCCUAGAACAUAGGUUUCAAAUGACGGUACCUGACGAGGAAGCCACGGCUAACUACGUGCCAGCAGCCGCGGUAAUACGUAGGUGGCGAGCGUUGUCCGGAAUUAUUGGGCGUAAAGGGAGCGCAGGCGGGAAGGUAAGUCUAUCUUAAAAGUGCGGGGCUCAACCCCGUGAGGGGAUAGAAACUAUCAUUCUUGAGUGCAGGAGAGGAAAGCGGAAUUCCUAGUGUAGCGGUGAAAUGCGUAGAUAUUAGGAGGAACACCAGUGGCGAAGGCGGCUUUCUGGACUGUAACUGACGCUGAGGCUCGAAAGCCAGGGGAGCGAACGGGAUUAGAUACCCCGGUAGUCCUGGCCGUAAACGAUGAAUGCUAGGUGUAGGAGGUAUCGACCCCUCCUGUGCCGGAGUUAACGCAAUAAGCAUUCCGCCUGGGGAGUACGGCCGCAAGGCUGAAACUCAAAGGAAUUGACGGGGGCCCGCACAAGCGGUGGAGCAUGUGGUUUAAUUCGAUGCAACGCGAAGAACCUUACCUGGCCUUGAGAUACCGGGAAUCCUGCAGAGAUGCGGGAGUGCCUUCGGGAACCCGGAUACAGGUGCUGCAUGGCUGUCGUCAGCUCGUGUCGUGAGAUGUUGGGUUAAGUCCCGCAACGAGCGCAACCCUUAUCCUCUGUUGCCAGCACUUCGGGUGGGAACUCAGAGGAGACUGCCAGUUAUAAACUGGAGGAAGGCGGGGAUGACGUCAAGUCAUCAUGGCCCUUACGGCCAGGGCUACACACGUGCUACAAUGGGGCGUACAGAGGGAAGCCAAGCCGUGAGGCGGAGCGGAUCUCACAAAGCGUCCCGUAGUUCGGAUUGAAGUCUGCAACUCGGCUUCAUGAAGUCGGAAUCGCUAGUAAUCGCGAAUCAGAAUGUCGCGGUGAAUACGUUCCCGGGCCUUGUACACACCGCCCGUCACACCAUGGGAGCGGAAUGCACCAGAAGCAGCUUGCUUAACAGCAAUGAGGGCGGCUGCCACGGUGUGUUUUGUAACUGGGGUGAAGUCGUAACAAGGUAGCCGUA
rnacentral:rRNA from 1 species